UACGUGGGGCGCAAGCGUUGUCCGGAAUUAUUGGGCGUAAAGAGCUCGUAGGCGGCCUGUUGCGUCCGCUGUGAAAUCCCGGGGCUCAACCCCGGGCCUGCAGUGGAUACGGGCUGGCUAGAGGCAGGCAGGGGAGAACGGAAUUCCUGGUGUAGCGGUGAAAUGCGCAGAUAUCAGGAGGAACACCGGUGGCGAAGGCGGUUCUCUGGGCCUGUACUGACGCUGGAGGAGCGAAAGCGUGGGGAGCGAACAGG
rnacentral:rRNA from 1 species